UUGAAUGGAUGAGCAAAGAAAGUGGUUUCUUGAGACAGAAGCUACUCCUGGUGAAGAUGCUGUGAA
rnacentral:pre_miRNA from 1 species